CAGUUUCUGCUCAGUAGUUCAUCUAUAGGAAUGUUUGCGUUGUAAACGCAGCAAUCAUGUUGAAGAAAGACAUUUCACAAUGCAAUCACCUUUGCAAUUGCCGUUUCUGCAUUGAUGGAUAGCUAAGCAAAUUAAGUCACACAUUCCUUUUUCUUCCCUUCCUUCAUUUAACUACUUGAUAGCACUUUUCUACCACAACCCCUCCUUCUAGGAUAAUUGAAAUAAUAUGCCAAGAACAUUAGAAAUCCCCAGCAAAAUUCCAAAUUUUGUUUUUAAAGGUCUGAAAUGUCAUCCUGAUAGAAAAUGUCAUCUGCAGAAUCCUGAAUUAGAAAAGCCAUCCAUGGGCUGUGGACUAUGGGGCCACAUUUAUUUAUUUUGACUGUUAUGGAUGUAAUAAAUCAUUCUAAAAUAAUGUUGACAUUUAUGCAUUCUGCUAACAUGGCAGUUUAACAGCCUGCUCCGUAUACUGCUGCUUGAGUUAAGGAUUUGCUAUCACAUUUUCCAGCUUAGUUCUCCCAAUCUUAACAGAGCAGACAGUGGUAAUGUCAACUGCAGAAGUGCCAAGAGAGAAAAAGAUGGAUAAUGUAUUCAUUUUUAUGGGCAAUUUUAAACUCCAUGCCAUUGAGCACAUUUCUCUGAAUAGCUCUCCUAACUCACAGCGUUUGCUUCUUUCCUCUUUCUUUGGGCUACAUGAAGCCUUUUUUGCUCUAGGUAUGGCUUUCAGUUUGAUUUAAUCCUGCUCUCUGCCUACUGACAGGUACACAGAAUGCAUUAGCAAGAAAGAUAUCAUAAUUGAAAUCAAUACCGUGACUUUGAAGAGUGUUUCUAUGAUGAGUUCUGGUCCUGUGUAUUUUAUAUGCUGCCAUAACCAUGCUGAUGUAAUGGAUUAGACAUUUCUAUCAGUUCACACACACACACACACACACACACACACACACACAUGCACGUACAAGCACAAUCCUUGGUAACAUUCCUUUUAUACUGAGUGUGUUGUUUACCUCCUUGGCCUGCCAGUUGUUUGAUUAGACUGAACCAUUCAAUACAUUAAAAAGAAGAAAUGCACUUCCAGGUCAAAAACAGGAUUCAAGCACCACAGUGAAAGAUUUUUGCUUUCAUUAUAAAAGUGCUACUUCACAUGUGGAAAUGAGCACACAUUUCAAUUUCGGGCAGCUAUUUACAUAACAUUGUCCCCUCUUGACUUUUAAUCAUUUUUGACUCUUGAAACCUUCAUGACUAUCAUUGACUGCCCAUAUUUUCCUACACCAAUUCACGAGGUGAGAUUUUUCUGGCACUUUUCCCCUUCUACUGUGUUCUAACCUCACAAACACAACGUUGGGGUCUUGCAGGUGUGAAAUGAAGUGGGUUGAUGACCUCCCUGUGUCUUGUUUCCUGUAUAAAAUUUGCAUAUGAAUUCUGAAGGAGAGCCUUAAUAUUGGAUACCAAGGCCAGACAACCCACCUCUGAAGGGUCCUCUGGGUUUGGGGAGUGUCUCCAUCAGCUGACACCCCAGACCAAGUAGAGAAGGAACAACAGGAGUGGCCACAGUCAGGGUGUCCCUGCCUUUCUUAUAGCCAAACAGUCAUGAAAAGAAUUUUGGCAUUUCCUAUAGAAGCAAGAAAGUUUUUGCUCUUAAAAUUCUCCAUAUUAUUAAAAGCACAGUAGGAAUGCAUAUAACAUGUCAUUUCAUCCCUCUGGUGCUUACAUUUAACCUCUGGUUUUCAGAGUCUUGGAAUGUACCCUUGCUGUGUGGUUAUAAUUAAAUUACAUUCUAGAGACAAGUCAGGGAAAUACGCAGAUUUGUCUGCCGUUUGAGAUUAUCUUUGCUAGUGUAGCACCAGAUUGCCAAAACAACAUGGAAAAUAUGCACACCGUUAGCUCAGAGAAUGUGUUUCACUUGCAUGUAAACAAGAGUGACACUCAGUUUUUCUGAUUAUUUUAUAUCUUUAAUGGCUAUAUCAGUACCUGCCAUCAUUCUUAGUGUUCCCCAAAGGUUCUAGUCCACAGCUACCCCUCUGUGGUCUCCCAGUAUGAAUUUAGGGGAUAGAAAAGGAAGAAAUGGGCCAGACCUAUAGUAGUACCUUCAUGUUGUUAUUCAGGCAGAGUUUGGAGAGUCCGCAGAGAGACAUUUUUAAACACACUGUAGAAUUUUCCGGAAAAAAAAAUGGAAUUUAAUCACUGGAGUGAAACAAAUGUUCUUUGGGAAGUUAGCAGAAUCCUUUACUGUGUUUUCAAAUGUAGACAAGACUUUCCACAGACUGAUGCAACAUUCUCGUAUAAAAGUGUUUCCAAGUGGUUGGGCCUGACUCCCUUGAAUAUCUGCAAGACUUCAACAACUAUCAGCUGUCACAAGAGUAGAAAUCCAGACAAAGGGAAUGUUGCCAUCCAUCGGCAAUUUUUAAUCCACUGACUUCAUGCAAAUAUAAAGGAAUCCUUAAUCAAUAAGAGUUUAUUCUAUUUACUACUAUUUACCAACACACAGUUUAAAAAAUACUUCUGUCUUUAGCUCUGGCUCUCUGUAACAUUAAAAUUGUAUCCUCCUGUCUAAUAUCUCAAAAUUCUGUUGAAGUUAGGGACAAUAUUUUUUUUUCCCUCUUUUGGUCAUUUUCCUUAUUUCUUCUGAAUAUAAAUGUUAGUUGUAAUCUACCUCUCCUAAGCACCUUUUCAGUGGACACCCAAUAGCAACACUCUGUCCAUUCUCUUGAAACAGAGACAUUGAUGUUUAAACUCAGGAAUACUGCAUACUCAGAAUAUAAUUGAUGGUUACAAAAUGCCAACUAGCGGACAUCUGUUUUCUCCAUGAAAUGUGUUUAUCGUAAGAUUUUUAAAAGCCAUUUUCCAGAGGUAAAUGAAUCCAGUAUUACCCAAAUAAUAAACAAACAAUACAAUGCUUGGAAUAAAUAUCAAGAAGAUCUUUAUCUUUGGUGAUUCUUAGAGAUAUUUACUAUUAAGAUACUGAUAAAUGGCUACUUCUAAACUAAGGUAAUAAUUUUACCUUUAUUUACAAACAGAAAAGCAGAAGAUGAAUGUGUUACACAAAUAGCUUCUGCUGCCUUUAAACAGAAAUGAAGAACAAAACAAAACAAACAAAAACAACAAUGCAAAGCAGGACUCAGGAACAAAGAAUGUAUGUGUUUCUUAAUAAGUCAGUUUUCUAUCACUAGUUGCUAUAUAGACCCUCUGGGAAACCAGGCAGAAGAAAGGCAUGCUGAUUCAUUUCAUUUUUUUGUGCUUAUCUGUUUAUUUUCCUGAAAUUGUUUGAUCACACUGGCUUUUCAUUUUCCAUAUCUUUAUGGCUGUAUGGACUACUUCUGAAGAUUGUCUCAAUAUUUUAGAAUACCAUCUCUCCUGCCUUGUUAAAUUUCCUCCAGAAAAAACACAGGGGUUCUUAAAUAACUUCCCUUCCUUCUUUAUUGAAGCUUCCCAACAAAAUUGAACUCUCUAGGAACUUUCAGAUAAUGAGUAUGACUAAUGUUUAUGCAGUUUCGCAGGCAUAUAGCUAUUUUGGACUGUCCAAGAUCAGAAUCUGUUGAAGUGGGUAAAUAAUAACAUAGAAAUGUAUCUGCUAUACUUUGCUUAAGAAUGCUGUUGCACAGGACAAGGAUUUUCAUGCAGCAUCAUAUUCCGGGUAACUAUAAAAAAAAUAUUACAGAAUGAAUGUUAAUCUCUACAUGUGGUCUGCAAACUUGAGAGUCCAUGUGUGUGUGUGUGGGUAUGUGUAAGGCUGCAACACAAGAGUUUUCUAAUUAAGUGUUGUCUGUGGUUUGUGAUAGACAAACUCCUCGAUAAAAAGAAAUUACAUUACAUUCCCAUUGAAGUUCAUUUAGUUCAGUUCUGUCCAAUAGAUUCUUCCACAAUGAGGGAAAUACUCUCUGUGUGUGCCAUUCACUACAGUAGUCAGUAGCUGCAGGUGGCUUUUGUACAUGGCAUGUGACUAGUGCCACCGAGGAUCUGAAUUUUUUAAUUUUAUUUAAUUUUAAUUAAGUUAAAUAGCCACUUAACUUAAAUAGGAGGCUAUUGUAUUGAACAACACAGAUCUAGUUGAUAUAGGAAUUCAACUUGACAUGAUUAAAUCAUUGUUUUACUUCAUUCAGAGUAUAUGUGUAGCCAAGUACCUUCCAUGACCCUAAAAGAGGGUACACAAUUCUUUCCCUAAAUCCAAUUCAAGCCCAUGUUGUACACUAAUAGAAUGAAACUAGUUAUAUUAAUAAAGGGAAUAUGUAGCAGGCCAAACUAGAUAGUAGUUCAGGUUAUAGGCUUUAGAAAAUGACAGAUUUGAACUCAAAUUCUGUCUUCUUUGACCCUCAUCUGCCAUAUUAUCAUCGAGGGGAUAUUUAAAUUCCUUUGGGUCUUCAUUUUCUAAGCUAUAAUAAAGCUUAAUAAUAAAGAAAUAAUGUCUAUAACAAGCUUAGCAUUCAACACAGAGAAAUAACGAUGGUGACGAUGAUCCCGCUCAUGGUGAUAUUAUCGUCAUACAUUCUGACUCAUUUAAUCCUCAUAUAAUGUCUAUUAAAAAUACUACCGGGAGUGCCCAUCGUGGCUCAGUGGUUAACGAAUCCAACUAGGAACCCUAAGGUUGCGGGUUCGAUCCCUGGCCUUGCUUAGUGGGUUAAGGAUCCAGUGUUGCUGUGAGCUGUGAUGUAGGUUGCAGACUCGGCUGGGAUCCUGCGUUGCUGUGGCUGUGGUGUAGGCCGGCGGCUACAGCUCCGAUUAGACCCCUAGCCUGGGAACCUCCAUAUGCCAUGGGAGCGGCCCAAGAAAUGCCAAAAAGACCAAAAAAAAAAAAAAAAAUACUACCUCUACGUCCCAGAUGGGAAAACUAGAAGUGCAGAGUUAUUUUGUUCAAGGUCACUUAGCUAAUGCAAAAUUUAAACCAUACCUCUCAUUCUAAAGACUUGUUCUUUUCAUUCUGCCACAUUACCUCUUUUGAUAGUAACCAAUCAGACCUCCAGCCUAAAAUCUAUUCAUUCUCAACUAUAGAUAUGUCACUGUGAAGGUGAGGUGAGUCACAUUUAAGCAAGAGAAUACUAAGCAGGAUCCCAACCUUGACCUUUAAAGUAGGAUAAGAAAGAAAACAAGAAAGCAAGAAGGAAGAAGGAAGAAAGGAAGGAAGGAAGGAAGGAAGGAAGGAAGGAAGGAAGGAAG
rnacentral:lncRNA from 1 species